AAGAUUUCAGUCGUGUAGACGCGCUCUCCGCAGCCCCUCUCCCGCCUGAGCAGCGCUAGGCCCAUCACUGUAGAGCCUGGGUACCAGAGCCCCAGAUGCACAAAAGAGCAGAGCCUGGACCCUUCCUUGGGCAGGAAGUGGCUAUUCUGACUGCGGGCUCCUCGUGUAAGGAGUUCAUCUUCACUCUCCUCCAGAGGUCUGUGACAGCAGGCGGAAGACUGGCAGUGUGGUAGGAGACACAACAGAAGCCAGGGCUGGUUCACCAGGUGCUGGUUCAUCACCAGGAGCUGGCUCGUGUGCCCGCGGACAAGAGAGGACCUGCAGGUAGCUUCUUCCUGGAGGACUCAGCCCAGACAACUUCUCCACCUAAGUGACUUAACACAUUGCUGCCCCAAAUGUCAACUUACUUGAUUCCAACAACAGUUCAAGAUUUAGGCAGAAAAAGGACAUGCAACCAAAAUGUGGUGAAGUCUCGACAUCCCCGGAACCCCAGGUGCUCCUGAGCACCCGCCUCCUGUGGGUCCUAUGAGUCUCUCCUCUCCCACUAUUUCUUCCUCUCACACAGUUCAUCUCACUAACUAGUUAUGACCUGGGCUUUUUUUUUGGCGGGGGGGAAGGGGGCAUUACAGGGCAUAUGGAAAAUUCUCUAAUCAGAGAUCCAACCCACACCUCCUGCAAAGGAAGCUCAGAAUCUUAACCACAGGAACACCAAGGAAGUCCCUGGGCUCCUUUCUUUUCCUCCCCACUGUCUCUUCUGAGCAUUAUCUCUACCUUGAAGCAGAUCCCUCACUGCAUCGCCCCAGUCUGUUUUCCAGCUGCACUCGAGACAUCACCAUACCAUCACCAUCCUGUGAAUACCUAUUUCAUGAAUACUUAAUUGCCAGGCAAUAUGCUCAACCCUUUGUAAGCACUGUCUCAUUUCAAUCCUUGCAGGGUGAAAUCAGCUUACUGAUAGGGAACUGACAUGUAAAGAGGCUAAAGCAUGCCUUCCCUGGUGGUUCAGUGG
ensembl:lncRNA